rnacentral:tRNA from 1 species
GGCGGGGUGGCAGAGCGGUCAAUUGCACCGGGCUGUAAACUCGGCGCCCUUAAGGGCUACGCAGGUUCGAAUCCUGCCCCCGCCACCA